rnacentral:ncRNA from 1 species
GAAAGACGAUGUAUAGGGGCUGACACCUGCCCGGUGCUGGAAGGUUAAGGGGAAGGGUUAGCGCAAGCGAAGCUCUGAACUUAAGCCCCAGUAAACGGCGGCCGUAACUAUAACGGUCCUAAGGUAGCGAAAUUCCUUGUCGGGUAAGUUCCGACCCGCACGAAAGGUGUAACGACUUGGGCACUGUCUCAACAAGGGAUCCGGUGAAAUUGUAGUACUCGUGAAGAUGCGAGUUACCCGCGACAGGACGGAAAGACCCCGUGGAGCUUUACUGUAGGCUGACAUUGGAUUUUGGUAUUGCUUGUACAGGAUAGGUGGGAGACUUGGAAACCAGGGCGCCAGCUUUGGUGGAGUCAACCUUGGGAUACCACUCUUGCAAUGCUGAAAUUCUAACCAGAGGCUGUGAAUCCAGUCUUGGGACACUGUCAGUUGGGCAGUUUGACUGGGGCGGUCGCCUCCUAAAGAGUAACGGAGGCGCUCAAAGGUUCCCUCAGCACGGUCGGAAAUCGUGCGAAGAGUGUAAAGGCAGAAGGGAGCUUGACUGCGACACCUACAAGUGGAGCAGGAAGGAAACUUGGACUUAGUGAUCCGGUGGCUUCCAAGUGGAAGGGCCAUCGCUCAACGGAUAAAAGCUACCCCGGGGAUAACAGGCUUAUCUCCCCCAAGAGUCCACAUCGACGGGGAGGUUUGGCACCUCGAUGUCGGCUCGUCUCAUCCUGGGGCUGGAGUAGGUCCCAAGGGUUGGGCUGUUCGCCCAUUAAAGAGGCACGCGAGCUGGGUUCAGAACGUCGUGAGACAGUUCGGUCCCUAUCCGUCGUGGGCGUAGGAAAUUUGAGAGGAGCUGUCCCUAGUACGAGAGGACCGGGAUGGACAGACCGCUGGUGCAUCAGUUGUCUCGCCAGAGGCACAGCUGAGUAGCUACGUCUGGAAGGAAUAAGUGCUGAAGGCAUCUAAGCACGAAGUCCCCCUCAAGAUGAGAUUUCCCACUUUUUAAGGUAAGACUCCAAGUAGACCACUUGGUUGAUAGGUCCCAGGUAUAAG